rnacentral:rRNA from 1 species
UACGUAGGGAGCAAGCGUUGUCCGGAAUCAUUGGGCGUAAAGCGCGCGUAGGCGGCCCUGUAAGUCCGUUGUGAAAGUCAAAGGCUCAACCUUUGAAAGCCGAUGGAUACUGCAGGGCUGGAGUCCGGAAGAGGCGAGUGGAAUUCCUGGUGUAGCGGUGGAAUGCGCAGAUAUCAGGAGGAACACCAAUGGCGAAGGCAGCUCGCUGGGACGGUACUGACGCUGAGGCGCGAAAGCGUGGGGAGCAAACAGG